GGAUAGGAUAGGAUAGGAUAGGAUAGGAUAGGGUAGGAUGGGAUUGGCUGAACAGAAUGGAAUGGGAUGGAACGGGUUGAGAUGGUACAGAAUGUAUUAGGAUGUGUUGGGAUGAGAAGUACUAGGAUAGAGUGAGAUGGUAUGGAGUGGGAUGGGCUGGUUUCUCCAGGCAGAAACCAGCACAGGAAAGUAACCAAGAGUCCCCUGGUACCCCAGACCUCAUCCCUCGUACAUCUCUGAUUAGCAGCACUCAGAUGGACUAGUGCCACUCAUUGAGUGCAGCGUGCUCCAACCACCCCACAUGCACCAUGAGGGUCUGACUCAGUCCGAUUCUUUCUUGGAUGCUUUGUAUGCUGAAGCAGCCUGGCAUGCCCUGCACGGGACCUUGGGCUUGGAAUCUGGAUGUGUCCAUCCACUGAAGGCUCCUACACCUCAAACAGAGUGUUCUGCUUCCUUCCCCAAGGCAAGUGAAGGGCUGCCCAGCCCUGCUUGUUCUUUGGAGACUUUUUUUCUGCAGUAUUUUAGCCCUUUCUUGCUGAUGAGUUCUGCAUAAGUGUCCCAGGGUUAUGCAUCUGCACCACACUCUAUGCUGCAAAACAUUUUGCUAACGAAAUGCAGAACUUGGAUAUCUGCACAGGGUCACUGAGUUGGAAGGUUCCCACAACACAUCUCUGUCUCAUUGAGCCGUUCAUGUGGAAAAGAGCAGCACAGUGGAACUGACCCAAAAUCCUCUCAGUGCUUCACAUCCCACUUUAGGCUGGGGCUGGGGCUCCAGCUCCAGCUCUGUGUGCCACCCAAGGCUCACUGGAGUCACCAGGUGUGGUGGGAAUGGGCAAGAAAAUGGGGUGUCCUCAGUGACCCCUGGGUGAGCUGAAGGUUAGGAAGUAGAAAUGUGAACGUCUGAAAUGAGAGAGUGGCACCCUGAGUGCCUGCUGAGCUGGGAUUCCCCAGAAAGGGAUGGUGGGGAUAGAACUGUGGGGGGAUAGGAUAGUGAGGAUAGGACAACAGGGACUGAAUGGUGGGGAUGGGUGGGGAUAGAAUGGUGGGGAUGGGAUGGUGAGGAUGGGAUGGUGAGAAUGGAAUGAAGGGGGUGGGAUGGUGAG
rnacentral:lncRNA from 1 species